UACGUAGGGCGCGAGCGUUGUCCGGAAUUAUUGGGCGUAAAGGGCGCGUAGGCGGCCUGGUAAGUAGGGGGUGAAAUCCUGCGGCUUAACCGCAGGGCUGCCUUCUAAACUGUCAGGCUCGAGCACGGUAGAGGCAGAUGGAAUUCCCGGUGUAGCGGUGGAAUGCGUAGAGAUCGGGAAGAACAUCGGUGGCGAAGGCGGUCUGCUGGGCCGUUGCUGACGCUGGAGGCGCGACAGCGUGGGGAGCAAACAGG
rnacentral:rRNA from 1 species